GACGAACCGUGCGAACGUUUGUUCGGAAUCACUGGGCUUAAAGGGCGCGUAGGCGGAUGACCAAGUCAGGGGUGAAAGCCCGCAGCUCAACUGCGGAAGUGCCUUUGAUACUGGUUGUCUCGAGGGAGAUAGGGGCAUGUGGAACUUCCGGUGGAGCGGUGAAAUGCGUAGAUAUCGGAAGGAACGCCGGUGGCGAAAGCGACGUGCUGGAUCUCUUCUGACGCUGAGGCGCGAAAGCUAGGGGAGCAAACAGG
rnacentral:rRNA from 1 species